GGGCUAUAGCUCAGCUGGGAGAGCGCCUGCCUUGCACGCAGGAGGUCUGCGGUUCGAUCCCGCA
rnacentral:ncRNA from 17 species